rnacentral:rRNA from 1 species
UACGUAGGGGGCAAGCGUUGUCCGGAUUUAUUGGGCGUAAAGAGCGUGUAGGCGGCUGGGUAGGUCCGUUGUGAAAACUCGAGGCUCAACCUCGAGACGCCGAUGGAAACCCCCUGGCUAGAGUCCGGAAGAGGAGAGUGGAAUUCCUGGUGUAGCGGUGAAAUGCGUAGAUAUCUGGAGGAACACCGGUGGCGAAGGCGGCAUCCUGGACCGGCACUGACGCUGAGGAGCGAAAGCCAGGGGAGCAAACGGG